AUACGACAACUAUAGCAUAGAUCAGAGAAUGUUAUUGAUUA
rnacentral:guide_RNA from 1 species